rnacentral:rRNA from 1 species
UACGGGAGGCAGCAGUGGGGAAUAUUGCACAAUGGGCGAAAGCCUGAUGCAGCUAUGCCGCGUGUAUGAAGAAGGCCUUAGGGUUGUAAAGUACUUUCAUCGGGGAGGAAAAAACAAACUAAUAAUUUUAUUUCUUGACGUUACCCGAAAAAGAAGCACCGGCUAACUCCGUGCCAGCAGCCGCGGUAAUACGGAGGGUGCUAGCGUUAAUCAGAAUUACUGGGCGUAAGAAGCACGUAGGUGGUUUUUUUAAGUUCAGAUGUGAAAUACCCUCGGGCGUUAACCUAGGAACUGCAUUUUGUAAACUGAAAUACUAGAGUAUCGUAGAGGGAGGUAGAAUUCUAGGUGUAGCGGUGAAAUGCGUAGAUAUCUGGAGGAAUACCUGUGGCGAAAGCGGCCUCCUAAACGAAUACUGACACUGAGGUGCGAAAGCGUGGGGAGCAAACAGGGAUUAGAUACC